GGCAGCAGAGAAAAAUGGCAGCAGCAGUCAAAAAGCUGAAGGGUCAUAAGGAAGGAGAGCAGGUUGACUCAUAGAGGAGGAGCCGUGUUGAAUUGAGCACACCUCCAGAAGGCGGCCCAGCCCUCCGUUCCCAGGUGAGGCUCCCAGGUGUUAUAGACGGGAGUGGCAGAUGACGUCCAUAUAUGGAGAACAACCGCGUCUACACUUUUUAAGCCAUCUGCAGCUCAGAUGGAUUUCUAUGGCCUUAUAUGGUAAUAGGUAGGAUGAGCGCAGAGAUGUGUCAAAAGAACUUAUUUAGCUACCUGUGGAAACCAGGCUGUUUCUGCACAGUGAGCUGUAAGAUACACAAAUGACUGUUUCAGGCCAAAACCACACUUAUACCUGCAUGCGUAUUUGCAACUCGUGAGGGCCGGUUUAGAAGAGCAUGUUAGUGUAAAGGUUGAGUUGCCGGCUUCGUUUCUUAAAGGUUUUUUUUUGUGACUCGGUGAUGACUCACUUUUGUUUUUAUAGCUCAGAAAAGUUGCACCGCUGCUCUUAAAGUCAUAGCACCACUAGCCCUGUGUUUCUCUCUGUCGCAUUGACCUACAUGUAAAAGAAGUGUAAUCAUAUGCACAUGACAUACAAGUGUAAAAGGAAGGAGGGGCCUGACUGGCCCCUACUGUGCCUGCACCAUGACUCUUUCAAAAAGUAACGUGCUAAAAUGACAGUUCCACGGUACAGGGUGUACUUCACUGAGUUUCUCUCUCUACUUUUUUACAUGCCCACUGCAAUUCAGAGACAAAUGUAAUGUUCACAUUUAUUUAGUAUUUGAUGGUUGCUUUUUUUUAGAUUAGGAUAAGCAGUAUUCUUGAUCAAGAUAGCACCAUUGAUUCCAGGAGGAAGUACAAGUGUACAAGCUCCUCUCCAGAGCGAGGUAUUUAAGAUUCAUUUAGAUUACAAUGAAUAAAUUCACCCCAGUAGCGUUUAAUCACAAAUAACAGGACAAAAUCCAAAUGACAUUCAUGCAAAUUUGAAAACGCUUCCAGUCCUGUCAGAAUAACUGUACUGAAACAAGUUUUUGUUUUUGUGUACUACUCCUUUAAAAUCAUACACGUGCCAGAAGAAAACUGAGUCUCCAAUCAAUACAUUCAGUAACUCAUGUAGUAAGUCAUACUUUUUCUGCCAGCACCUUAUUGUAUCGGUAGAUAACUUUUUCAUUCUUUAUCUUUUCUUUUCUAAUCCUUUUUAGAUAAAGGGCACGGUGCUUUUGUCAAGCCUGUCCUUUUAAUGGCACCUCAGAGACUAUUUUUAAAUGCAGAUACUCUGCUUCAGCAGCACAGUGGCCUCGCUUCCUCUCUGUGAAUUCGUGGUUUACAGAGUCAAGAGUCCCGCCCCACAUCCGGACUAACGUCUGUUCCAAAAAGCCAGGGUGUGCAAUAAGUACAACGCCUAACAUCAGAAUUUGUGAGUCCAACAAGUCUUAUAUUUAGUCCACAGUUGGCAAGCUGUUUAGCAAAAGGUGUGAUAGAACAGAAAACUCUUUCAUCAGUGUUCCUGAGAGUUUUUUAAAAGUUUUGUUGCAUUUAUUGUCACGUCUGGAACAAGGCCUGUCUGCCAGAGCUGAAGGCAGCCAGCAGCAGCCACUUUCAAAGUUUUAAAAGAGGAAAUACAACCCUGAACCACACAGGGCAGGAAAUGGCUGCUGCAUAGCUCUCUGUGAGUUGAAUUUUUCAUGCUGCUGCAAGCAUAUUUGGAGUUUUGCCACAACCCACUCUGUUACGUCAGAACAGCCGAUAACCAAAUCUGUGAGAACUGUGACAUCUGCUGGUAAAUCAUGGGUACUAACAUGGUUGACACUGCUGGGCUUUUCUGUUGUAUGUAUGGCAUUUGUCAGUAUCCUCUUCUUCUUUCGGCUGUUCUCUUUAGGGGUCACCACGCUUGAUCAUCUGCCUGCUUUUCACUCUAUCCUUAGCAUCACAUUUUAUCACACCAACCUUCUGCAUGUCCUCCUUCACUAUAUCUAUGAUGUGUUCUUCAUCUUUUUCCUUCGGCCUGGCAGCUCCAUCCUCAACCUCCAGGGUCCAAAUGUAGACGGGCGGUUAAAAUGUAAUUUAAUAAUGGAGAUAAAUAGGUUUUCUCUUGGGAUGUUAGAGUGCCUGUAAACAUUUUCUCUCAUCACGUUCUUUUGAAUCUGUUUUUGGUUUUUUAAAAUGGUUUUAAUUUGGGGUUGUUAGGUACAUUUACUUGAUGUUACAAACCUCUGCCACGAGGUGGCAGAAUUGCCAAGAACAGUAGUUUCUACUAGGGGUGGGUUUCAAUAAUCGAUUUUCCAAUUCAAAUCGAUUUUACAGCCACCAAACAGCUAAAACAGCAAAUCAGAGCAGGUAAACGGAUUCCACACAAAGACGUGAACACAAAGCGCGGACCCAAUGCAUCAGAAUCUGCGAGAUGUCGGCUUUCUCUCCCAACGACACGGGCAGAGUUCCUGGUAAAUAUGCUUGGAAUGUGUUGAGACUUUGUUGUGUCAAUACUUUAAAAAAAAGUUAUAAAGCAACAUUUUAAUGAGAUGGUGUAUAUGUUUGUAGUUGUUAUUAGUGAUCGGCACCUGCAGGUGCUAGAGACCGCCAUGUCCUUACAUGUGUAGCAAGACAUAGUCUGCAAUCUCCAGUGUGUCCAAGCGUGCUGCUAGUGAAACCCCUGCAAAAUGCAAGUUUGCAAUUUUGCAGUUAUCGCGUGGUUUUGGUUUGGCAUUAGUUUGUUUCUGUGUGUAGCCAGAUGCAUAUUCUUUCAUUGGAUGUUUUGUGUUUUUUGUUUUUGUAUCUCAUCUGUAUGCCAUUAAAUCGCUUCAAGAACUCC